CAAUAAAAUGCAAAAUGGCUCCAUAGCGCCCCCUAAGGUGAAAAUUCACAUGACGGCUGUACGCUUUGUCAUAUUGACACAAAAAUUGACACACACAUGUAUCUCAAUAAGAUCUACAAAAAAGUCAGUGCGGGCGUAUCUGUCAAAUGUACGGUUAAUGGGUUAUUUUGCAUUUUUUGCAGAUCUGCACACAUUGGAAUUUCGUUAACUCCUCCGAAGGCUUUCGUUCGACCGGCACCACAUUUGCUCAGGCCAAUCUACCCCCCAUGGCCAUUAAAAGUUGUACAAAUCAUGACGCUGCACCCCACGGUUUACGUUCUAGGGGGCGCCAAAGAUAACCCAAAAAUCCACAUUCUUAAAAGUCUUAUAACUUUUUACUUUUGUCCUCACUGGCCUCCAAGUUUUCUAGGAUGAUGCAAUGUCCAGCCAUCAACACAUUUGUGAAGGAAUUUUUACUCCCCAAAAGAGCGCCCCCCAAUGGCAGGAGAAAAAGGUCCAUUUUUUCUUGUCUCCUAAGGUGAAAAUACAAAUUGUCGAGUGUCACGCCUGUAUGCUUUGUCAUAUUGACACAAAAUUUGACAAUCACGUGUAUCUCAAUAAGAUCUAUGAAAAAGUCAAAGGGCAUGUAUCUGUCAAAUGUACGGUUAAAGGGCUAUUUUGCAUUUUUUGCCGAUCCGCACACAUUGGAAUUUCGCUAACUCCUCCGAAGGCUAUCUUUCCACCGGCACCAAAUUUGCUCAGGCCAAUCUACACUCCA